AGGUCCAGCCUUUCCUGCCAAGGUGGCUGACUGAGCCUAGCUGUGUCAGAAAGAAUGUCACCGAAGACCUGGUUCCUAUCGAGGACAUCCCUGAGGUCCAUCCUGACCUGCAGAAGCAGCUGCGGGCACACGGCAUCUCGUCCUACUUUCCAGUACAGGCAGCUGUGAUUCCCGCCCUCCUGGAGAGCGCGGCCUGUGGGUUUCUGGUGGGCAGAGGCGGCUACCGGCCUAGUGACCUCUGUGUUUCUGCCCCGACAGGCAGUGGGAAGACACUGGCCUUUGUCAUCCCUGUGGUGCAGGCCCUGCUGUCAAGAGUGGUCUGCCACAUCCGUGCCCUGGUCGUGCUGCCCACCAAGGAGCUGGCCCAGCAGGUACGCAGACCCUAGACCUGGAGCGUGGCACCGCCGGCCUCAGCUUCCCUGCUGAGUGCACAGCGAUCAGCCCCUGGGGGACCCAGACUAGAUCUGGGGUCCUUUUUGCUGUAGUAGGGGUCACCAGCUACCUCCAGACCAGUGACAGACUUCUCUUGCAGGUCAGCAAAGUUUUCAACAUCUACACAGAUGCCACACCUCUGAGAGUCUCUCUGGUUACGGGACAGAAGUCUCUGGCCAAGGAGCAGGAGAGCCUCGUCCAGAAAACGUAGGUUGUGUCAGGGUGCGGGUCUUUCAGGGGGUCCCUGCUCAGCCCUGCAGGUGGCCUGAGGCACCGUGGGAGCAGAGGAGGGGCCACCAUCUUUAACUGCCUGUUCCCAUGAAGAGGAGGAGCUCCCACCCGCCCCCUUCCCAUGUAGGGUGGAGUCGGGGCUGUGGGGUGAGGCAGCGUCUUGCUGUCCGGAAGCCCCUGAGAAAGCUUCCUUCUCUUGAGCCGCUCUUUGGUCUGUAGAGCUGAUGGGUACCGCUGCUUGGCUGACAUCGUGGUAGCCACCCCCGGCCGCCUGGUGGACCACAUCGACCAGACCCCAGGAUUCAGCCUCCAGCAGCUCCGCUUCCUGGUAGGUCCCCGCCCCAGGGGCCUGGGCUUUGAGCUCAGGGCCGCGCCACCCAGCCCCGGGCUCCCUGUGUCCUGCAGGUCAUCGACGAGGCUGACCGGAUGAUUGACAGCAUGCAUCAGUCCUGGCUGCCGCGGGUGGUGGCGGCCGCCUUCCAGAGCGAGGACCCCGCGGACCCCUGUGCCCUGUUCCAGCGAAGACAGGCCCAGGCUGUGACAGCUGCCAGGUAUCCAGCAGCAUGCCCAGGUGCUGGCCUCCCCUGAGCAGAGGCCUCUGCACACAGCUCUCCUUCCUUAGUGCCCAGAGAUAAGGCUGGCUUGAGCUCUGGUGCACAGAACUGCAUCGUUUUGUCAUGUGAGCUGGACCCACCUUGCCCCUGGUCCACGGCAGUCUCUACACACCUGCUGUCCCCAGAUGCCCCUGCAGAAGCUGCUCUUCUCAGCUACUUUGACCCAGAACCCCGAAAAGCUGCAGCAGUUGGGCCUCCACCAGCCCCGGCUUUUCUCCACAGGGCUGACACACAGGGGCCUGGAAGAUACAGAUGGGGACGGGGAUUCGGAGAAGUAUGCCUUCCCUGUUGGGCUCACGCACCACUACGUGCCCUGCAGCCUCAAUUCUAAGCCGCUGGUCGUCCUGCACCUGGUCCUGGAGAUGGGCUUCUCGCGGGUUCUCUGCUUCACUAACUCCCGAGAGAACUCCCACAGGUGAGGCCCCGGCUGGGCAGGGGCGGCAGAGGCAGCCUCUGGUCCCAGCAUUACUUGGCUGCAGCCUUCUCUCUGCCUAGGCUCUUCCUGCUGGUGCAAGCUUUUGGGGGUGUGGACGUGGCUGAGUUCUCCUCGCGCUACGGGCCUGGCCAGAGGAGAAUGAUCCUGAAGCAGUUUGAACAAGGGAAGAUCCAGCUG
rnacentral:sRNA from 1 species